rnacentral:lncRNA from 1 species
GAAGAUACGAUGAAAAGUGUUUAUUUUUCUUGCCAAGGUGCUUAAAACAAAGGAAGCUGUCCCCUGAUACUCGGGACCACUCACUCCUGCAGCCUGGCUCUGUGGGCACCCGGCAGGCGUCCCGUGGCCGUGCUGCCUCAGGUGCUGGGGACUGAGAUGGAGUCGCUGACUUCCUAUUGGGCUUGAGCUUUCCUUGCAGCCUGGAAUUCACUUUUAGGCUGACUGGGGAGGGAAGAAUGAGACAGACACUGCUGGCCCUGUCCCGGCCCCCCGGCCUGUCUCUCCAUCCUCGGCCUGACCUGCUCAUGGUGUCUGCGGCCUUCACCCCGUGACCACUCCCGAGGGAAGCCGCCUGCGACCCUGGCAACCCUCCUGCCUUGUGUACCCCAGUCGUGGGUCUCCUGCUCUGGCCAGAUUCUGGAUUCCUCCAGAGGGGACAGGCCAGCACCUGGGGUGGCGCCAGGCCCACCGAGAGGUUCAGCAGCGACAGCUGUCGUUGGGUGUAGAUGCUUGGUGCCAAGGCGUGCCGCCCCUUCCAGGGAAAGCACGUGGGGCAGGGCACCUUGCGCACCAGCAUUGAGAGCACCCCAGCAGGAGGCCCGUGUGCUGCUCGCCGCACUGAGCAUCGUGGGUGGGAGGCACGGGCGGUGGUGCCACGGUGGGCUCUGUGUCUCCACUGAUCCCCUUUGAAUGUGCCAAGUGCCAGUCCCGACGUGUAGACUUGGGGUUGUCCAAGCAGAGGGGAAAGAUGGAGAAAGGAAGCCCCACAGUGUCUUGUUGAGGAUUGGAACGCGGGCCCUGACACCGCAGGGUGUAAAGUUAAAAUCACGAUGUCAGGCCAUGAGGAACGGUCCAAGGCUUCCAGGCACAGUCCAUGGCAGCUGUGUGGUUUGAGGGGCUGACCUGGGUCCCAAGGCAGGCCGGCCAGAUGUAGGGGUGAGUUAGUGGGAGUCAGAGAGAGGCGUGGGGAGGCCUGACCUAGGGCUGGGGGCUGGCAACACAGGAGAGACCAGGGCCGGGGCCGCACGGAGGCUGGGGCAGCUGUGGGGACUAUAGGAGUCAGAGCUGAGGGCAAAGGGGAGGAGGCUGGCGGGUGGAGGUGCCCAGGGAGGCCUGGGGCCGGGUCCCACCAGGCUCUGGAGGGGCCUGUGGGACAAGGGUGGAGAAGCAGCCUCCACAGGAGGACUGGGAGCCGAGGGCCUGGCCCGGGCCUAGCGGUUCCCCCCAGUGCCCUGUGCCUUCUUGUCUCCCGGGGUGAGAAGCCUCCCUUCUGGGCUGGGGACGGCUGCCUGGUCCAGGGCUGCUCCGGACCCAGCGUCUUCCCGGCUCCCAGGGUUGGCAGCACAAAGGCGGGACAGGCCUGUGCACGCAGCGCCUCCUCUAGAUUAGGUGGGCUGGGUCGCACCUGCAGGUCCUCCCCACCCUCCUGACACCCAGCCAGCGCUUGGGGCAGAAACCAAGUAGGAAGGUGAUGGCUGGAAGAGGGAAUGCCUGGGUUUCUCUCUUGGCACCGCUUUUAACCCGACUGUUGGCCUUCGUUGACGCAACACAGGGUGGCUGAAACUUGGAUAGUUAACUCCACUCUGCCUUUCUUGAAGAACCCACAGGCAGAGUUCGGGUGGAGUUAGGAGAUGGGGCGGGAAUUUCAAACCCUCGUGUUAAAUAAAACCAUGAACACUCUCAGAGGAAUAUAGCAGUGUAGUCUAUGACACAUCAUUCACAGUGUCUAGGAUACAACUCAAUGUUAUUAGACAUGUUUUUUUUAAAAAAGAAAAGGCGACCGUUGCUGGAGGACGGCAGCAGUGGAGGCUGACCCACGAUGAUGUCGCGUGUCGCACUGGUCAGAUGGGUGUGCGUAACUACACCCAAGGACAGAAAACAUGCUCAGAAUGGAGAGCACAGAGUCCCAGCAGAGAAAUGGAAGCUACAGAAAUAGAGCCAAGUGGAAAUUCUAGGUCUGAAAACUACAGUAUCAAAAUAGAAAAUGAACCAGAUGGGGUUAACAGCAGAUUGGAGGGGACAGAAGAGUCAGUGGACUUCAUGAUAUGUCAACAGAAAUGAUCAUAUAGAGAUUAAAGCCUGAAAAAAGAAAUGAAGAAUGCUCCAGGAAACAGAGGGAUGAUCUCAAAGGUCUGAUGUCUGUCAUGGGAACCCCAGAAGAAAGGAAAUAGAGAAUGGGAUGUAAAACCUUUGCAGGGGCAGGUGCAGUGGCUCACGCCUGUCAUCACAGCACUUCGGGAGGCCGAGGUGGGCAGAUUGCUUGAGCUCAGAAGUUUGAGACCAGCCUGGCCAGCAUGGCAAAACCCUGUCUCUACAAAAAAUACAAAAAUUAGCCGCCGGGUGUGGUGGUGCACACCUGUACCCAGCUACUCGAGAGGCUGAGGCACAAGAAUUGCUUGAAUCCAGGAGGCCGGAGGUUGCAGUGAGCUGAGAUUGUGCCACGGCAUUCCAGCCUGGGUGACAGCAAGACCCUGUCUCCAAAAACAAAACAAAACCAAAAAACUCACAGCUUUGAAGUAAGACGUAACGGGAUGAACGGGAUGUUUUCUAAACUUGGUGAAACGUAUAAAUCUACAAAUUCAUAAAGCUCCAGAAAGCCCAACCAGGAUGUGUGUCCAGAAAUCCCUGUCUAGGCUUGUCAUUGUCAAACUGCUGAAAAG